GUUGCCUACGGUGUGCUGGAGACAGAGUCUGAGGAGAGCUGGACUUGGUUUUUGCAUAAUCUGCGCCGGCCUAUUGCACAUCCUAAUGGGUUGGUCAUUCAUACAGAUGCCUGCAAUGGUUUAGAAGUGGCCGUGGACAAUGUGUUCCCUGGAGUAGAGCAUAGGGAAUGCAUGCGUCACCUUGCUACAAAUUUCAUGAAGAAAUUCAAAGGAAAGGUGUAUACCGACAAUUUAUGGCCAGCAUCUUUGACUUGCAGUCUGAAGAAGCACAACUACCACUUGAGGCAGUUAUACAUGAAUCCCAAAGUGAAAGAAUACUUGGAAACACACCACUCCAAGUUAUGGGCUAGAAGCCAAUUCAGUGAACUGAGCGAAGUUGACUAUGUGCACAAUAAUCUAGCAGAGUCUUUCAACUCAACGGUCCGGAAA
rnacentral:rRNA from 1 species